AGCGAACGCUGGCGGCAGGCUUAACACAUGCAAGUCGAGCGGGCGUAGCAAUACGUCAGCGGCAGACGGGUGAGUAACGCGUGGGAACAUACCUUUUGGUUCGGAACAACACAGGGAAACUUGUGCUAAUACCGGAUAAGCCCUUACGGGGAAAGAUUUAUCGCCGAAAGAUUGGCCCGCGUCUGAUUAGCUAGUUGGUGAGGUAACGGCUCACCAAGGCGACGAUCAGUAGCUGGUCGAGAGGAUGAUCAGCCAC
rnacentral:rRNA from 1 species